UAUAUACUCCCUCCGUCCGGAAAUACUUGUCAUCGAAAUGGAUAAAAGGGAUGUAUCUAGAUGUAUUUUAGUUUUAGAUACAUCCCUUUUUGUCCAUUUUGAUGACAAGUAUUUUCGGACGGAGGGAGUAUAAU
rnacentral:pre_miRNA from 1 species